UACGAAGGGGGCUAGCGUUGUUCGGAAUCACUGGGCGUAAAGCGCGCGCAGGCGGGACUAGCAAGUCGGGAGUGAAAUCUUGGAGCUCAACUCCGAGGCUGCUUCCGAAACUGCGGACCUGGAGACCAGUAGAGGUUGGUAGAAUUCCCGGUGUAGCGGUGGAAUGCGUAGAGAUCGGGAAGAAUACCUGUGGCGAAGGCGGCCAACUGGGCUGGAUCUGACGCUGAGGCGCGAAAGCGUGGGGAGCAAACGGG
rnacentral:rRNA from 1 species